rnacentral:rRNA from 1 species
AUUGAACGCUGGCGGCAGGCUUAACACAUGCAAGUCGAGCGAGCGGCGGACGGGUGAGUAAUGUCUGGGAAACUGCCUGAUGGAGGGGGAUAACUACUGGAAACGGUAGCUAAUACCGCAUACCAUCAGAUGUGCCCAGAUGGGAUUAGCUAGUAGGUGGGGUAAUGGCUCACCUUGGCGACGAUCCCUAGCUGGUCUGAGAGGAUGACUGGGAACACUGGAACUGAGACACGGUCCAGACUCCUGCGGGAGGCAGCAGUGGGGAAUAUUGCACAAUGGGCGCAAGCCGGAUGCAGCCAUGCCGCGUGUGUGAAGAAGGCCUUCGGGUUGUAAAGCACUUUCAGCGAGGAGGCGUUACUCGAAGAAGAAGCACCGGCUAACUCCGUGCCAGCAGCCGCGGUAAUAC